AAAGCGUGCGCAGGCGGUUUUGUAAGACUGUCGUGAAAUCCCCGGGCUCAACCUGGGAAUGGCGAUGGUGACUGCAAGGCUAGAGUUUGGCAGAGGGGGGUAGAAUUCCACGUGUAGCAGUGAAAUGCGUAGAUAUGUGGAGGAACACCGAUGUCGAAGGCAGCCCCCUGGGUCAAAACUGACGCUCAUGCACGAAAGCGUGGGGAGCAAACAGGAUUAGAUACCCUAGU
rnacentral:rRNA from 1 species